rnacentral:rRNA from 1 species
UACGUAGGCAGCGAGCGUUGUUCGGAGUUACUGGGCGUAAAGGGUGUGUAGGCGGUUGUUUAAGUUUGGUGUGAAAUCUCCCGGCUCAACUGGGAGGGUGCGCCGAAUACUGAAUGACUAGAGUGCGGGAGAGGUGAGUGGAAUUCCCCAGUGUAGCGGUGAAAUGCGUAGAUAUUGGGAGGAACACCAGUGGCGAAGGCGGCUCACUGGACCGGUACUGACGCUGAGGCGCGAAAGCGUGGGGGAGCAAACGGG